rnacentral:rRNA from 1 species
CCUACGGGUGACAGCAGUGGGGAAUAUUGGGCAAUGGAGGAAACUCUGACCCAGCAACGCCGCGUGAAUGAUGAAGGUCUUCGGAUUGUAAAGUUCUUUUCUAAGGGAAGAAGAAAGUGACGGUACCUUAGGAAUAAGCCUCGGUUAACUACGUGCCAGCAGCCGCGGUAAUACGUAGGAGGCAAGCGUUAUCCGGAUUUACUGGGUGUAAAGGGAGCGUAGACGGCAGAGCAAGUCUGAAGUGAAAGCCCGCGGCCCAACUGCGGGACUGCUUUGGAAACUGCCCGGCUAGAGUGCUGGAGAGGUAAGCGGAAUUCCUAGUGUAGCGGUGAAAUGCGUAGAUAUUAGGAGGAACACCAGUGGCGAAGGCGGCUUACUGGACUGUAACUGACGUUGAGGCUCGAAAGCGUGGGGAGCAAACAGGAUUAGAUACCCCAGUAGUC